GCAAGUCGAACGGUAACAGGGAGAAGCUUGCUUUUCCGCUGACGAGUGGCGCACGGGUGCGUAACGCGUAUACAAUCUACCUUUUACAGGGGGAUAGCCUUUAGAAAUGAAGAUUAAUACCCCAUGGCAAGUGAACAUGGCAUCAUGUACACUUUAAAGUUUCGGUGGUAAAAGAUGAGUAUGCGUUCUAUUAGCUAGAUGGUGUGGUAACGGCACACCAUGGCAACGAUAGAUAGGGGCCCUGAGAGGGGGAUC
rnacentral:rRNA from 1 species